GUGAUGGCGUGGAUCGAUCAGAGCAAAGGGGGGAGAAGACAAACCCUAACUUCAUGAAAUUCUCAAGAAUUGAAAGAGAUUAGGAGCCCAAACUAAUGCAUGAACUCGAAACCUCAAUCAUCUAAGCUUGUACAACAAGCGGAACGUGUCAAGGAGAGGUCAAGCAUAGGAGGAUAACGGGUCAAGAUAAGGCAAGAUGACAAAUACACUUAUUGGAGUACUCGAGGUAAGUGAAUUUCGAUUCACUUUUUAGUAGGUUUAAUAGAUUUUAAUACUUAUGUUUACGAAACAUCAUGAAAGAACAUGUAAUAAUCAGAAGUACAAAGCCAAUAAUGCCUCAUUAUUGAAGAAGGUUGUAUUUAAGCCGAAAGUAAAUUGGUGGGUUUAAACGGGUCGAAUUUUAUGUGCAUAUGUUGCGUAAUGAAAUGAAAUUCGUUAUGGUUAAGACCUUGGGUAAGAAUUUUAGUCAUUAUGUAAGGGGAACAUUUCCCGGACCAUUAGGUACAAGUUUUAUAUGAUUCGGUUGUCGGUCAAUGAAUGAACGGAUUGUUUCGUUUUAGUGUAGGAAAUUUUAUAAGUAUAUGUGUAUAGGAAUCCAAAGGCCACGUGGGUUGAAUCGUAGAUUGUCUAUACUAUGUAAAGUAUUGAAUGUGACAUUCCGGCAUAAACCUACAUGUAAAAGAAGCUUGUGUAUAUAUUCGUGAUUAAUUGAUUGUGCGAAGGAAGGAACAUUGGCAUGAAUGAAGGUACGCACAUAUAUAUAUAAGUAUAUAUAUAUAUAUAUGUAUGUAUGUAUGUAUGAUAAUAAGUACGUAGGUGUGAAUGUAUGUGUGAAUGAAUGUUCAAUGCUUAAGACAUAUGCAUGAACGUAUCAAAGGGUUCGAGUAUUUAUGGAUACUAAUGAUGUGCGUUGAGUUGGAAUGUAAUGUAGGUAUGGGGUCGUUGGCUUCAUGAAGAAAUGGAGCUGGAUUUGGAUAAGAGUAUUUAAGAAAGCGCUUGGACAAUUCCACGACUACUUUAUAGAAUGCUCUACGAAAUUUUAUUAUAUAGUUUAAUGUUGAAUGGUAUGUUGAUAACUAAUGGUUUGGUUGUACGUGGUGUCCACAGGUAUCGCUUGGGUUUUCUCUACUUUUAUUGAAGUGAAGCGGACUUAGUUCGAGUUGAGAGCAAGGAUUGUACGGGGUAGAAUGGUCACAUAGUGUAACUCAUAUAGGUUUUGAAGUAUUAAUGUUAUAAAACGUUAUAAAUCCGUUUUAAUGAAUAUAUGGCAUUUCGCAUUUGAACUUUCAUGUGUUUGAUAUGUCUAUUAAAGAACGAAAUUUUUGGGCUCUUGUUUUCCGCUGCGUCGUAUUUUAAGUUAUUACGCGUUAGUCUUACAGGGAAUUGUUCUUAUUACGAACGGGUCAUGCCCGAAUUUUGUUAAAUAAUAGUAUGAUAAUAUUACAUUUUGGAAUGUGUAAUUUGGGCGUAACAAGUUGGUAUCAGAGCCCUGGUUUGAGAGAAUUAAGUACGAGAGUAUAAGUACUUGAACUCAAACCUGUGUGCUCUUGUGAUAAGGAACCCGUACAAUCCAUGACUCGAUCAAGAUCUAAAGGUAGAAAUGGAACGAAAAUGUGUAAGUAUGUAUUAGAUUAUGUAUUUGAAAGAAACUAAUAGUGUGUUAUGUGCAAGGUAAGCUUAAGAUCUUGAAGAGGAUGAUCCGUGAAUACAGAAUGGGAUGAACGCUAAGGCGGGCAAAGGUGCAAAUAGGCAAAUUAACCCCAGGUACACAUUACUAAUAUGUAUGAGUACCGAU
rnacentral:lncRNA from 1 species